rnacentral:rRNA from 1 species
AUUGAACGCUGGCGGCAGGCCUAACACAUGCAAGUCGAACGGUAACAGGAAGAAGCUUGCUUCUUUGCUGACGAGUGGCGGACGGGUGAGUAAUGUCUGGGAAACUGCCUGAUGGAGGGGGAUAACUACUGGAAACGGUAGCUAAUACCGCAUAACGUCGCAAGACCAAAGAGGGGGACCUUCGGGCCUCUUGCCAUCGGAUGUGCCCAGAUGGGAUUAGCUAGUAGGUGGGGUAACGGCUCACCUAGGCGACGAUCCCUAGCUGGUCUGAGAGGAUGACCAGGCAACACGGGACCGGGAAACGGGCCAGACCCCUUAGGGGGGCAGGAGGGGGGAAAUUUGGCAAAUGGGGGGAAACCCGAAUGAGCCAUGCCGGGGGGGUGAAAAAAGGCCUUGGGUUUUAAAGGUAUUUUCGGGGGGGAGAAAGGGAUUAAAGUAAAUCCCUUGUUCCAUGAACGUUCCCCGAGAAAAAGCCCCGGCUAAAUUCGGU